AUGACCGUCACUUUGGAGGAUAUUGCGAUGAUCUCCGGUCUUCCGAUCGAGGGCAGAGCUCUUACCGGGAAGGUGAAGUCCGAGGGGUGGCGACAAAGGGUUGCAGGUUUGGUUGGUGUUGAACCUCCCCCGUGGAUUCAUGAAACAAAGAAGGAUCCUAGGCCAUCUGGUGUUUUGUUCUUGUGGCUACAAGAACAUUUUUACGAGUGCCCAGAGAAUGCCAGUCCGGCUGUUGUGGAGAGGUACGCCAGGGCUUACUUAUGGAAUCUUUUGACCCAAGUGGUGUUUCCUGACGGCACGGGAGACACAGCCUCGUGGAUGUUCUUGGACCCUCUUCGUAACUGGGAUGUUAAGUGGAGUUGGGGG
rnacentral:rRNA from 1 species